GGCGAACCGAGCGAACGUUGUUCGGAAUCACUGGGCUUAAAGGGCGCGUAGGCGGGCCCGCCAGUCUGUGGUGAAAUCCUCCGGCUCAACCGGAGAACUGCCUCGGAUACUGCGGGUCUCGAGUGUGAUAGGGGUAUGCGGAACUAUCGGUGGAGCGGUGAAAUGCGUUGAUAUCGAUAGGAACUCCGGUGGCGAAGGCGGCAUACUGGAUCACAACUGACGCUGAGGCGCGAAAGCCAGGGGAGCAAACGGG
rnacentral:rRNA from 1 species